rnacentral:rRNA from 1 species
GUCCACGCCGUAAACGAUGAAUGCUGGUUGUUGGUCUUUAAAGAUCAGUGACGACGUAAACACGAUAAGCAUUCCGCCUGGGGAGUACGAUCGCAAGAUUGAAACUCAAAGGAAUUGACGGGGACCCCGCACAAGCAGCGGAGCAUGUGGUUUAAUUCGAAGCAACGCGAAGAACCUUACCAGGUUUUGACAUAGGAGUGACCGGGUCAGAGAUGAUCCCUUUCUUCGGAACACUCCAUACAGGUGGUGCAUGGUUGUCGU